rnacentral:rRNA from 1 species
UACGGGGGGAGCAAGCGUUGUUCGGAUUUACUGGGCGUAAAGGGCGCGUAGGCGGCCAGCACAAGUCAGUUGUGAAAUCUCCGAGCUUAACUCGGAAAGGUCAACUGAUACUGUGCGGCUAGAGUGCAGAAGGGGCAACUGGAAUUCUUGGUGUAGCGGUGAAAUGCGUAGAUAUCAAGAGGAACACCUGCGGCGAAGGCGGGUUGCUGGGCUGACACUGACGCUGAGGCGCGAAAGCUAGGGGAGCAAACAGG